CCUACGGGAGGCAGCAGUGGGGGAUAUUGCACAAUGGGGGGAACCCUGAUGCAGCGACGCCGCGUGGGUGAAGAAGCGCCUCGGCGCGUAAAGCCCUGUCAGCAGGGAAGAAAAUGACGGUACCUGAAGAAGAAGCCCCGGCUAACUACGUGCCAGCAGCCGCGGUAAUACGUAGGGGGCCAGCGUUAUCCGGAUUUACUGGGUGUAAGGGGGGCGCAGACGGCGGUGCAAGCCAGGAGUGAAAGCCCGGGGCCGAACCCCGGGACUGCUCUUGGAACUGCGUGGCUGGAGUGCAGGAGGGGCAGGCGGAAUUUCUGGUGUAGCGGUGAAAUGCGUAGAUAUCAGGAGGAACACCGGGGGCGAAGGCGGCCUGCUGGACUGCAACUGACGUUGAGGCCCGAAAGCGUGGGGAGCAAACAGGAUUAGAUACCCCAGUAGUC
rnacentral:rRNA from 1 species